AGCAUCCAAGGAGAGUGUGGGCAGCUGGAGCCAGUUAGCACUGCCUCUAAGGUCUCCUGCAACUCACCCACCCACCCCUCUUACUCCAUGGUAUUCAACUUCUAAACUAAGAGGAAAGCCCGAGCUAGAGGUCCUAUGCAUCAAUCAGGGAAGAGAUAUUGAGAAGAAUAAACAGAGAAACUGAGUUCAAGCUUAACUCCCAACCCCUUGAGUGUGGGCUAGACUUAGUGACCUGCUUCUAAGGAAUAGAGUAUGGAAAGAGGAAAAUAGCAACAUUACAGGAGAGAAACCUGAAAGCAACUUAACCAAGUGAUCACAGAAUCACUGGUAAUAACUCUUGUUGAUAUCAUGUGCCCCCAAUACAGUAUGAUGAAAAGACCCAUCAUCUCGGUGAUAUUUAUCCUCAAAAUCUAUAAUCUUACAACAAUUAUGAGAAAAUAUAGACAAACCCAAUUUGAAAGGAAGCAAGUCUACAAGAUACUUAACCAGUACUUUACAAAAGUGACAAGGUCACAAAAGACAGCACAAGACUGAGAAACUCACAGAUUGGAGGAAGCCAAAGAGACAUCAUGGCUGAGAUCAUGGUGGUGGAACCCUGGUUUGGAUCCUGGAACAGAAAAAAAGAACACUAAGUGGAAAAACUGAUGAAAUAUAAAUAACAUAAUAAAAAUCUAUAAUUUAAUUAAUGGUAUUGUACGACUAUUAAUCUCUUAAGUUUUAAAAAAUGGACCAUUAUUAUGUAAGAUAUUAACGUCAGGGGAAGCUAGGUAAAGGUUACUUGGGAACUCUCUGCAACUUUUCUAAAAUUAUUUUGGAUGGGUGUGGUGGCUCAUUCCCCCUGUAAUCUCAACACUUUAGAAGGAAA
rnacentral:lncRNA from 1 species